UCUCAUUUGACAGCUGGUUCCUUGCGAUGUUCUACCGACAGGGAGACAUAGAAAGAGAUGGAAAGAUGAAAAAGAAAAGACAUGCCCUGUUUGUUUGUUAUGCUUGUCAACAUUGCCUCUGCAAUAUCCCUUCAACUUUUUACUAAUUCCGAUUCUAGCUUUUUUCGUAUUCUCGGCACCAGCUGGACAAUGCCAUCGCCAUCCCCCCAGAGGGUUUUACCUGUCUCCUGUUCUC
rnacentral:lncRNA from 10 species